rnacentral:rRNA from 1 species
UACGGGGGGGGCAAGCGUUGUUCGGAAUUACUGGGCGUAAAGGGCUCGUAGGUGGCCAACUAAGUCAGACGUGAAAUCCCUCGGCUUAACCGGGGAACUGCGUCUGAUACUGGAUGGCUUGAGUUUGGGAGAGGGAUGCGGAAUUCCAGGUGUAGCGGUGAAAUGCGUAGAUAUCAGGAGGAACACCUGUGGUGUAGACAGCUUACGUGGACCAUCACUGACGUGAAACACGAAAGCGUGGGUAGCAAACAGGA